UCAACGAGUCGGGUUGUUUGGGAAUGCAGCCCAAAUCGGGCGGUAGACUCCGUCCAAGGCUAAAUACAGGCGAGAGACCGAUAGCGAACAAGUACCGCAAGGGAAAGAUGAAAAGGACUUUGAAAAGAGAGUCAAAGAGUGCUUGAAAUUGCCGGGAGGGAAGCGGAUGGGGGCCGGCGAUGCGCCUCGGCCAUAUGCGGAACAGCUCUUGCUGGUCCGCCGCUCGGCUCGGGGUGUGGACUGUUGUCGGCCGCGCCGGCGGCCAAAGCCCGGGGGCCCUAGGUGCCCCCGGUGGCCAUCGUCGGCACGGCCGGUACCCGCGCGCCAAAAGGCGUGUCCCUCGGGGCACUGCGCUGCAACGGCCUGCGGGCUCCCCAU
rnacentral:rRNA from 1 species